rnacentral:rRNA from 2 species
UGGGGAAUAUUGGGCAAUGGAGGCAACUCUGACCCAGCAACGCCGCGUGAAGGAAGAAGGCCUUCGGGUUGUAAACUUUUGUUGUAGAGGACGAAGAAAGUGACUGUACUCUACGAGGAAGCCCCGGCUAACUAUGUGCCAGCAGCCGCGGUAAUACAUAGGGGGCAAGCGUUGUCCGGAAUCACUGGGCGUAAAGGGAGCGUAGGCGGGUGUUUAAGUUAAGUGUGAAAGCCUGGGGCUUAACUCCAGAAAUGCACUUAAUACUGGAUACCUAGAGUGUGGGAGAGGUAAGUGGAAUUCCUAGUGUAGCGGUAAAAUGCGUAGAGAUUAGGAGGAACACCAGAGGCGAAGGCGGCUUACUGGACCACAACUGACGCUGAGGCUCGAAAGUGUGGGGAGCAAACAGG